rnacentral:rRNA from 1 species
CGCUGGCGGCGUGCUUAACACAUGCAAGUCGAACGAUGAAGCCCAGCUUGCUGGGUGGAUUAGUGGCGAACGGGUGAGUAACACGUGAGUAACCUGCCCCCGACUCUGGGAUAAGCCCGGGAAACUGGGUCUAAUACCGGAUAUGACCUCGCACCGCAUGGUGCGGGGUGGAAAGAUUUAUCGGUGGGGGAUGGACUCGCGGCCUAUCAGCUUGUUGGUGAGGUAAUGGCUCACCAAGGCGACGACGGGUAGCCGGCCUGAGAGGGUGACCGGCCACACUGGGACUGAGACACGGCCCAGACUCCUACGGGAGGCAGCAGUGGGGAAUAUUGCACAAUGGGCGAAAGCCUGAUGCAGCGACGCCGCGUGAGGGAUGACGGCCUUCGGGUUGUAAACCUCUUUCAGUAGGGAAGAAGCGAAAGUGACGGUACCUGCAGAAGAAGCGCCGGCUAACUACGUGCCAGCAGCCGCGGUAAUACGUAGGGCGCAAGCGUUAUCCGGAUUUAUUGGGCGUAAAGAGCUCGUAGGCGGUUUGUCGCGUCUGCCGUGAAAGUCCGAGGCUCAACCUCGGAUCUGCGGUGGGUACGGGCAGACUAGAGUGAUGUAGGGGAGACUGGAAUUCCUGGUGUAGCGGUGAAAUGCGCAGAUAUCAGGAGGAACACCGAUGGCGAAGGCAGGUCUCUGGGCAUUUACUGACGCUGAGGAGCGAAAGCAUGGGGAGCGAACAGGAUUAGAUACCCUGGUAGUCCAUGCCGUAAACGUUGGGCACUAGGUGUGGGGGACAUUCCACGUUUUCCGCGCCGUAGCUAACGCAUUAAGUGCCCCGCCUGGGGAGUACGGCCGCAAGGCUAAAACUCAAAGGAAUUGACGGGGGCCCGCACAAGCGGCGGAGCAUGCGGAUUAAUUCGAUGCAACGCGAAGACCUUACCAAGGCUUGACAUGUGCCAGACCGCUCCAGAGAUGGGGUUUCC